GAUGAAGAACGCAGCGAAAUGCGAUAAGUAGUGUGAAUUGCAGAAUUCAGUGAAUCAUCGAAUCUUUGAACGCACAUUGCGCCCCUUGGUAUUCCAUGGGGCAUGCCUGUUCGAGCGUCAUUUGUACCCUCAAGCUUUGCUUGGUGUUGGGCGUCUUGUCGUAUUACGACUCGCCUUAAAUACAUUGGCAGCCGGCACUUUGGCCUAGGAGCGCAGCACAUUUUGCGAUCGUAGCCCGUUGUACUGGCGUCCAUCAAGAACAUUUACCACGUUUGACCUCGGAUCAGGUAGGGAUACCCGCUGAACUUAAGCAUAUCAAUAAGCGGAGGU
rnacentral:misc_RNA from 1 species